UGCACCGUGAAGCUCUUAGAAACAAUUUUAGGGCAGUUAGAGAGAAAACCAACUGGAAUUUAUCACCUCUUGCAUAACAUUAGACACAGUCAACACGUAAGGUCAGCGCGCCCCGCUGAGGGGGGACAGGACCGUGGGGACCGAAGCUGUCAGUAAUCUGCCGCUUGUGUAAAGUAUUUGGACUGACCACAACAACAGGGACCAGACUCUCCUGUCCCUCAAAGUAGGACCUGCAACUUCAGACUCAUCUCAGAUGCAAAUUAACUUUGAAAACUUCUGCACGUGUCAUUCCAUUUUGGAUUCCCGGGACUUUUUGGCACACCUUUACGCACGCCUGCGCUGCGCACCGUGACUGUCACACACUGUCUGAUCUGAUUGUGUGAGAAACUUUUAAUCCGGGCCAUGCUGCAGUGACUUCAGCACACAGCCUGGGACUUCAUGAUCAAGUUGUAAACAGCAGCGGGCGAAGAAGGAUGCUUGGAAAAUAUUUAUAACACAGCGAGCGGAGGAGACGAAGUCUGUUCUUGUUACUUGAUCGAGCAGAACCGAGGACAGUAAAUCACAGGGAGGCAAGUGGGCUGCAGAGGUGAAGCGAGGACAAGACAGCCUCUCCAUCACUCUCCUCCUCUUCCUGUUUUUGCUGACUCAGAGGAAACGUUGAGCAGUGUGACAGCCAUCACCUCGCUGAGAGUCAGAGAGAGUGUGUGUGCUCAGAACACACACAGAUCGAGACGAGAUAGAAGCCUGCCACUUUGCUACAGUAUGGGAGGUCCCUGUUACAGUAAUAAGGUGGCGUCCCUGGAAGAUGGGUGGAUGAAUGAACUCACAGCAGGAAUAGAGAGUCCUCUGCUAGUUCCGGAUAUCCCCUUGGAAACUGAUGCAGCACGACGGAAGUUGACCAGUUUAUUUUCCAAUGCCAAUACAAAGGUGAGUAGGAUGCUAGUUUAGCCGGGGC